UGGCCGGCUUCUCCUGCUCAGCCUUGCUCCUUCCCUUGGUGCCUGGCGACCUUCCCAUGGCCGGCUGCCAGACCUUGCUCUAGCUCGGCUCCCAUCUCCCUGCUCGUUCCUCCUUCAAGCUCCCAUAGCCGCUGAGCUCUGCCCAUGGCCGCCGUCGCCUGUCUGCGCUCCACCUCGCCCCAAGCUGCAACCGACCGCCAUCUCCCAUGGAAGCUGUGACCAGCCAAACUCCUUUGCACAGCGCUCUGCUCGUCGUGGAGCACUGCUAUCGCCGUCGCGUCGUAGCUCCCUUCCCCCAGUUUCUCUCUCGUCCCCCAUGGCGCUCGCCCCUGCGCAGGUAAAUCCCCAUGGUCUGAGCUCCCUGCUUCCCUGCCGGUGCCCGCCCAGCCAUGGAGCUUCCCCGUCGCGCCCUCUGCUCCAUCUUCCUCAACCGCGCGCUGCUCGGAGUCCCCUGUGAAGCCCGAUUUCUGCGCGCCCAUGGAGUUCGCUGAGCUCCAUCCCUUGCCUGUUAUGGCGCUCGGUUUUCCUCGGCCCGUGCUCGUUGGAGGAUGAGCGCGAGUUUCCCUGCCAUAGUCUCGCCCCAGCCCUCAACGCCGAUCGCUCCUCUUCGGCUUCAUUUUCCACGGCGCCGGCCUCUGUUCGGCUCCCACGGACGGCUCCCUCCUAUGGCGGCCGCUCGUUCUUCCUCCUCCUCCUUGCACGAGCCGCGACCCUCUGACCAGUCCCAGCCGAACUCCCUGGCCAUCGCGCUUGCCGUUUCCCCACGCGCGCAGCCUCCCUCCUAGCUCGGCCGCCUGCUUCUCUCCGCUGCUCGUCGUCGCGUCGUUUGCCGUCGAGUCGUCAAACACGUUAUCCCCUGCUCGACUCCCACCUCACCAGCUCGCUCCAAACACGAUCUCGUCGUCGACCCACGUUGUGCCCACGACGUGCUCGUCGACUUUGAUGAUUUGAUUUCCAAUUUCGUGCUGCUUAUGUCGACCCUCGGAACUCCUCGUCGUACUCGACCCCGCAAGUCUCCAUCUCGUCGUCAAUCCGUGCGUCAGCAAGAAAUCCCAAGAAUCGGGUGAAGACGAAGCUAGCAGCGCGAUAUUCCCCAAGCGCUCGACAAAUUGCCUGGAUCGGAAAAUCGCUACCGAUCUCGCGGAUUCGUGUCAGCUGCUGAAGCGGUAAGCUGAUGAAUUAUUCAGAAUAGUUCAAUCGAUGAAUAAAUUAAUGUUUUAUUGCGAUGCUCAUUAGAUGCUCGAUAAAUCGCGUGAGUCACGAAACUCUCGUCGACUUCGCAGUUCUUGCGAUUAUCGAGCCAGAUUCAGCUAUAGCGAAUUAUUUCGCUAUUCCGGUCACUUAGCUGAAUUAGUGGAUCGAGUAGAUUUUUAGUAGGCAUGUGUGUUGAUGAAAUAAGUUUAGUAUUCCUAUUAGCUAGUUAAUAGAAUUUUCUAGUGUCGUUAUAUCAAUUUGAUUAAUUGAUAUGGUCGAUGCCCUGCAUAAAUAGUUAGUUUAUUCUAGUCAUGAUAUCCUUUGUUAAUGAUCAAUUAAAUGCCCUAGAUAAAUAUCUAGCAUUACCGAAAUGAGUGAAAGCGAAUAAUAUUGAUAAGUUUGUCUCUGUAGUAUUCAAUCUAGCUAAGUUAAAGAUAAUAUAGAUGAUGAAUCGUGUCUAGGCUAAUUAUGUUUAAAGUGUAUGAUUUGUUUGCGAUGUUGUGUUAGGUUCGUUUAAUUUAGAGGAGCGUAAUUAUUGCGCGUAGUCAUAUAGUAAUAACUAGUGUUUUCGUGUAAGAUUGUACAACGCCUCGCCGCUAGGUGUUUAAAUUCGUCAUCGCGUAGCACUAUUUAGGGUUUUUGAUAUUCCUGUCUAUAUGCAUUCAUAUGCAUAAUGCAUUUCAUUCAGGUGCGAUAAUUAAUCACGUGAUGCGGAAGAUGACUCAAGUCGACCCCAAGCGCGGGCUACUCCGCAUGGUGAUGCUGAUGAACGAACCUGCCUGAUCAAGUGCUAGGACAAGGAUGGUCGUCAAGUGGACAUCGUCUAACAAACACUAACCUAGUGUUACCCAGGCAAGCCCCAGUGCAUGCAAUCCCUUUCCUUGUGUUUUUAAAUAAGUUUUGCACACUUUAAGUCUAGUGAAAUAUGCAUUAGGUUUGUAGGAGUUGCUUGGAACCCUUUGAUGCAUUGCCUUCCUUGAUAUCCAUACCUUUAUAGAUACUUCUGGUGAAGUAUCGAAAUAUGAUUUACAAAAAUGCUUAGCCCUGCUUAGAUCUUGUGGAUAGAGGUUGUCCUUAGCCUAGCUCGAGAAAGGAUGGCUUCUACCUGCAAGAAUAUUUUCAUUGAGAGCGUGGUGGGAUCUUACUGCAAAGUUCCCUUUGAUGCUCUUUUCAUCCUAAGGAAUACAAACAAUCCUAAGGGUGGAAGUACUUAAAUCGGGACUUGGGCUAGGAACAGGUGCUGCUCCGCCCGAGUCAAUUAAGGAUUGGAUGCGUAUGUAGGCCUGAUAGAUCAAGGACUAUCUUAACUGGCCACAUGCCCUGGAAAUGGGACAGGGUAAGCUUGAACCCGGCUAUUCCAUACGUGAAAAGACAACCGCGCACUGGGCGUGGGAGAUGGUGGGAGUAGCGUGUGCCCUCCUGGCUAGAGGCUGGAUGGAGGAGUACUGUGCUCCCGGGUAGCGCGGACCGGUUCACGUUGUGGAGGAUCUGUGGGAACGGUUGACAUAUGCAAGGGUUAAGUGCUACAUAUGUCGUGUGGUUAGAGAUCCUCAGCUGAGUAAAUCGAUUCGGAUCGCCGUUAUAUCCCCGGAGAGUGGAGACUUGAUCACUGACCUGCAACCUAAGUCAGGAUGUGAACCUCAUGAAUAAAAAUGAUGUUGUAUUGAUGAGAUGGUGAAAUUAGAUCAGAUGCAAACAGGGUCUAUUAAUACUUAAUUCGGCGUUAAAAUGUUGAAAGUAAGGACUCACUUUAGUAAGCUAUUUCUGCAAAAGUAUCUAAGUUGAUUUUUGCUAAAGCCUCUUCUUGAUUCCUAUUUAUCCAGCAUACCCUUGAGAGUCUUUUCCUUAGUCGGGUAAGUCUUGCUGAGUAAUUCCAUACUCAGGGUUUUAUUCCCUGUUGUUUUUCAGGUUCUAACCUUAUGCUGCUGUGAUGGUGUUAAGUGCCGGUGGGCUCGGCCUUCUUAUAAGUCUAAGUACUUCUUCUAUACUUCUUAUUGAGGAUGGUCCCAUGAGCUAGCAUAUAUUUCAAACUUAUACUUUUGUAAUCACUCCGAUAAAAUAAUAUAAAAUUUUUGUAACUUGUAAAAUUUGGUAAUAGUAUUUCCACUGCAAAAAUAUUGUUGUGUGUGAUUUGUGUUACUUAAUCCCGCGGUUUUGGUUGUAAGUGGUUUAUCCGAUGUCCUUGAGGCAAUCGGACGGAUCCUGUUAAGUUAUCUGGUGCACAUGCAUGCCGUCUGAGGUCUUUAAGACGAGGACAGGUGCAUGUGGGCCCAAUAACUUGGGAGGUUCUGCCACAGCUGGUAUCAGAGCAGGAUUAAGUCUAUACGGUCACAUACGUAUUUUCAAAACAAAAGUUUUGGUUUUAGAAAACCUAUUUUCAACUAAACACAUUGUUUGAUUUUGAAAAACAGUUUUGCAAAACUAUAAUGCUAGCGACAUCCUUUAUUAAGCCCUAAGUUAAGAAUUAUCAGGUGGCUUAGUUCAAAACCACUAACCCACAACCGGGUGGGUAUUGCAUACAUGUGUAAUGUUAUUUUGAGACCAUUCAGUUUUGAAUGGAUCGACGCUCAAGGUAAGGUGAGUUGUGAGAGCAUGACCGAACAACCGUCGGUCUAGGGGAGUGCUUAAUUGUGGCGCUUGAUUAUAUACAUGUUCCACAUAUGUAUAUAUGAAGGUUGUGUUGUGGAGCAUUUAAUUUUCUGGGAUUUAGUACCCCAUGGAUGUGUAUGGGUAUACAGACAUGGGAAUACUGAGAAGUGUAAUGUACUUGUAACGAUGCACCUACGCUCAGGUAAGAAGGUGAGUUACCAUAAUGAGUUGCCCUAUGGUUAAAGUGUGGCAACGGCGCCUAUGCGUGGCUCGGCGCUUAAUGAUGAGCUGGCCUCCAUAUAGAAAUAUAUGGAGUAUAAAUUGUGAUAAACUGUCAUGUGUGACUUGCAUCAUUGGAAAAUUGGGCUGCAAUGGAUUUUCUGCAGGUACACUAACCUCGAAAACGUAUGUGUAGCGGACGACUAGCAAAAUACCGUGAGAGUCGUUAGUAUGCCACCGAUAUAGAACGUUAUCGCCACAGUACGUUGGCAAAACUCGUGAGGACGUAUAGGACGAGCAUGCAUCCUGAUUGUUGCAUCAUAUUUGUCACCUAUACACCCAAAAUGCUUCUCUCAUCUUUAUUCAAGUAACCAUUGAUUGUAGAUAAUGUGGUGUAAUGCUGAAUUAUGAACUUCGAUGAAAUAGGUGCCCUCCAUUCUUUAGGUGACCUCUUAGGGUGCUUUAUGUGCUUGCUCUUGUGUUUGAUGUGCCAGUAGAAUAUUGGUGAACUGUUUGCCUAAACCGGAAAUUAGGCCAUGUUCUUAUUAGGUAAACUGAGACCCAAAUUUGAAUUUACCAUUAUCCAUCUACGACUAAACUCAUGUAAAUGAAUGUUUAGAUAAUUUCUUUGUUGGACAUAAAAUGUACCCAAGCUUAAAUCAAGGAUCUCAAACCAUGUCUCCUUCUAGAACCAUUUCCUUGUUCAGUUGAUGCAAGUUGAGGUCUCUAUGGUAUUUGGCCUCUCCUUGUGGAUUACCAUGUUACUUUAUCGACCCAACCUAGGAAAUACAUGUCCAACCAUUUUUCUGGAAUUUUUGCCUCUGGUUUCCCUAUACCUAUCGAAGGCAUACCAACUUAAUCCUUGACCUUGUAAUCUCUACGAUGGGCAUAGAAAUAUGCUUGGGGCUGAAUUAACAGUCUCCCAUCGUACUCCUUUCAUUAAUUUUAGGUUAUGGCCACGCCUUGUUCAUUCAUCGGGCCGUGAUCUAUUUGGCUCUCUACUUGUAACCAUUCUUAUAAGUGGAGUCUAUUUUUGUAUAUUGUCAUCCUUGCUCAAUCCAGUUGUGUCGUGCGAGAUUUCUUAUUGGUUACGUCUGGUAAUGGUGUUGUGACUAAAACCGAUGGUGCCGUGACGAAACCGAGGGCCUCCUGUGGACGAUCGACACACGGUUGUGCUGCUCGGCACGCGCUGGUAUCACGGUUAGUAGUUGUGAUCCAUUAUGAGACUAUGUCAAUGCGUUAUCUUAGCACAAUAUUUUUUUGCUACGUGAGAUUGUUAUUGGUGCCAGUUCGGUAAUGGUGUCAUGGUUAAUGACUUAUGGUGCCGCAGCGAAACUGAGAGCCUCCUGUGAAUGCGCACACAGGACUGUGCUACUCGUCGGAUGCUGGUAUCAAGGUCUCUGGUCAUGAUCCAUUGUAGAACUACACUGAUGUGUUAUCUUUCGUAAACUACUUCCCUUGAAACAAUUUCUAUGUUGUUUGUCAAGUGAUCAAGCAACAUCUAUCAUCUUCGUUGGAUCAAAAGGGCAUACCACUUUCAUAUAUGGUUUCUUUUCUUUUGAUCUUGGUAGUGGUUACUUAUACAAGUUCCCUUUACAUCCUUUGUGUAAAGGUGAAACCUUGGAGCUUUUUAGUGUUGGAAGACAACUGAUUAGCUCUAAAAUGGAGAUUGACUUCCCCUGCUGCUGAGAUGCAGGAGUUUGUUCAUUCGCCCCUUUAUUUAAUCCAUGUACUCCCUAACCAAGUGGAUGAUUCAUAUCGCAUGAGGAAACGGAUAAACAACCUGACCAAAUGGGUUUCUACCCAAAUGCAUGACCUUUUGCUAGUAAAUGUAAACUCUCAACCCUUGGCUUACCGAUGGUACUAAGAGGACUUGCUCAAUGUCAAAAGUAGUUCAACAAGUUGGUUUUACUAACUUGUAACUGCCCUAUGAACAAAGGUUGAGUUUAGAGAUCGUUUUGUCGAGUUGGCUAAACUCACUUUGGUUCAACCCACCCUAAAGAAAGUACUUACAAGAAUCAAGUUAAGUCAACUAAUAACCACCUAAUUAUCGCUCUAAUCAUGCCUCAAUCGUCUCACGUGUGCUUUUCCGGCAUGUGUGAUCAAGUCGAGCCAUGAUUAGUACUGGGUAAAAUGGACUAGUUAUAAAGUCCGCAUCUACAGAUCCCUCCGCUGGUGAUUUUCUCGGAUCUAUAUCACCUUCUGGGACUUAGAUUUUCUAGCCUAACACGGGUCAAUUGUGAUGUUAUUCGACAUCCACACUCGUCCCCUGUGCUAUGAAUUUCCUGUAACCACUUGUUGGUAAACCUCUUUCUGUGUGUUUUACCCAAGAGGUUGCAUCUGAUUCUGUUUGAGUAAAAUCACAUCUCCACCGUUUGCUCAGCAGACUCGGAUAGUACAGUGUCAUCAGAAAAAGCAAACUGCACACAUGGAACCUUAUGUGUUCCUCUGGCAGAUAUCGUCUCUAUUGGUGGACAUUUCUAAAUUAGCCUAAGGCGAUGCAUGAUAUGUCCACUAGAGAAACCACAUCCUGAGACAUUCGCCUUCGCUCUAGAUUGUCUUAUGAUUAUCGCUGAUAUGGAUAUGGGGUACAUGCUUUUCUACCCUUAGAAGUCUUUCGCUCCGAAUCUCGGGACGAGAUUCUUUUAAGGGGGGGAGGGCUGUAACACUCCAGGUGUUUAUAUUCCGCUCAAUAACGAGUAUGGAUUUAAGCAUGUGAGAUCAGUGAAUAAGACGGACCCUAAGGUCUAAUUAUUUUGCCUGUCGCGAUUUUAAUAUCGCAUAUGAUUCAUCUGUCGCGAGUGCGACGUCGUUUUUAUUUGUAUCUAUCCGGGCUCUUCCGAAAUUUUCGUGGUGUUCGGAACAUAGCUGUUUCAAAAAUCGGUGUGUCCGGUGAUUAUUUAAAAUUCAUCGCCCGCACGGAUACGAAAUCGGAGGCUCAAUUUAUUCUUGCGAUUUUUUUUAUCCCGAGCAAAUUAGUUGGAACUUGACGACUAAAAUGUUCAGGGUAAAAUAAUGUGAAUCGCGUGAAAUCUUGCGCACGAAUAUGAUUCAGUUCACCCUUCAGCACGCUGUUUUGACGACAAAAUCGCGUGUUCGUCGGCAGAUAUGAUUUCGACUAAUAUUAGUCGAAUCACGCAUAUUAAAAAUACCGAAGCCGAAGUCCGUUUAAUCCAGUCCAUUGCUUCUCGCUUUGGUCUAACUCUUCAAAAGUGAAUUAACAGCACGAUUUUGUUCGAGGUUAGAGAAUUCGCUAAAUCAAGUCGGUAGUCCUCGGAUUUUCGUUUCAAGAUUUGGGAAAUGGGAUACGUAGUUGAAUAAUGUAUCGAUCCAGUGGGCAUUGCUAAAAAUCCGGACGCAAAAAUAUCUGCGUUUUUCUGUAAAAAAAAGAGAAGAUAAGAAAAUCAAAAAAAUCUACAGUCGAUUCUAUCCUAUCCGCGCGCCGCUCAUCGCUGGGAGAAAAUAUCCGGCGCGCGCGUUUGGCCGCUGGGCCUUUAUCUUCUCCAGCCGGAUCUCUCUGUUCGCUCGUACCCAGCUCUUCUCCAUGGCCGGCUUCUCCUGCUCGGCCUUGCUCCUUCCCUUGGUGCCCGGCGACCUUCCCAUGGCCGGCUGCCAGACCUUGCUCUAGCUCGGCUCCCAUCUCCCUGCUCGUUCCUCCUUCAAGCUCCCAUAGCCGCUGAGCUCUGCCCAUGGCCGCCGUCGCCUGUCUGCGCUCCACCUCGCCCCAAGCUGCAACCGACCGCCAUCUCCCAUGGAAGCUGUGACCAGCCAAACUCCUUUGCACGGCGCUCUGCUCGUCGUGGAGCACUGCUAUCGCCGUCGCGUCGUAGCUCCCUUCCCCCAGUUUCUCUCUCGUCCCCCAUGGCGCUCGCCCCUGCGCAGGUAAAUCCCCAUGGUCUGAGCUCCCUGCUUCCCUGCCGGUGCCCGCCCAGCCAUGGAGCUUCCCCGUCGCGCCCUCUGCUCCAUCUUCCUCAACCGCGCGCUGCUCGGAGUCCCCUGUGAAGCCCGAUUUCUGCGCGCCCAUGGAGUUCGCUGAGCUCCAUCCCUUGCCUGUUAUGGCGCUCGGUUUUCCUCGGCCCGUGCUCGUCGGAGGAUGAGCGCGAGUUUCCCUGCCAUAGUCUCGCCCCAGCCCUCAACGCCGAUCGCUCCUCUUCGGCUUCAUUUUCCACGGCGCCGGCCUCUGUUCGGCUCCCACGGACGGCUCCCUCCUAUGGCGGCCGCUCGUUCUUCCUCCUCCUCCUUGCACGAGCCGCGACCCUCUGACCAGUCCCAGCCGAACUCCCUGGCCAUCGCGCUUGCCGUUUCCCCACGCGCGCAGCCUCCCUCCUAGCUCGGCCGCCUGCUUCUCUCCGCUGCUCGUCGUCGCGUCGUUUGCCGUCGAGUCGUCAAACACGUUAUCCCCUGCUCGACUCCCACCUCACCAGCUCGCUCCAAACACGAUCUCGUCGUCGACCCACGUUGUGCCCACGACGUGCUCGUCGACUUUGAUGAUUUGAUUUCCAAUUUCGUGCUGCUUAUGUCGACCCUCGGAACUCCUCGUCGUACUCGACCCCGCAAGUCUCCAUCUCGUCGUCAAUCCGUGCGUCAGCAAGAAAUCCCAAGAAUCGGGUGAAGACGAAGCUAGCAGCGCGAUAUUCCCCAAGCGCUCGACAAAUUGCCUGGAUCGGAAAAUCGCUACCGAUCUCGUGGAUUCGUGUCAGCUGCUGAAGCGGU
rnacentral:lncRNA from 1 species